AAGAGUAUAUGUUCAGAGAUUAUUUCUGUAGUACUGUACUAAGAAAUCUCACUGAUGGUGUAGAGUACCAGAAGCCAGGAAGAGGAGAGGCAGAAUUCUCUCCAGAGUGUGAAGUCAGCUCUUGGUGUUGCUUUCCUGAAACUGCCAUUUGCCAUUGAUGAUUGUUCUUCUGUCCUUUUGGGAGAGUAAGAGGGAGAGGACACAGUCUGAGUGGC
ensembl:snoRNA U3 Small nucleolar RNA U3